rnacentral:tRNA from 1 species
AAGGUAAGUGAAAAAAUGGCUAAUCUAAGCCUUUUAAUUCCUUGCCAAGGAGAAGGUCGCCGGUUCGAAUCCGGUCUGCC